AGAUUGAACGCUGGCGGCAUGCCUAACACAUGCAAGUCGAACGGGAGUAGCAAUACUCUAGUGGCGGACGGGUGAGGAAUACGUAGGAAUUUGCCCUUAAGUGGGGGAUAACCCGGGGAACCCGGAUUAAUACCGCAUGACCUCGAAAGAGCAAAGUGGGGGAUCGCAAGACCUCACGCUUUUGGACGAAGCCUACGUCGGAUUAGCUAGUUGGUGAGGUAAUGGCUCACCAAGGCGACGAUCUGUAACUGGUCUGAGAGGAUGACU
rnacentral:rRNA from 1 species